AUAAUUUAUAUCUAAUCAUUUAUAAAAUGUGCCUUUUCUGCAGGAAUUUUUCUGCAACAAUUCAGGAACCUUUUAGGUUCUGUCGGACCAGAAGUUCCUGAUACUUUAGGCCUGGUGGUGUAUGCUCACCUCAUAUUAGGAGGUUAUUCUGUGUGGUUCUCUUCUCUCAUGUUCUCUCUCUCUCUCUCCUCUGUCCAACCCUCUCCAAACAAAAGAAAACAAGUCUGAAAACAUCAACGUUCCCGAAACUCUCAGUUCAGAGAUUCUUUUCUCUUUAGAAGACAGAAUGGUCCCUGUGGUCCUGAAGUCGAAGGUCCAGGACAGAUAUGAAGAUCAGCUGUUCAUUUGAGUCUUCACAAACUGUGUUGGCAGCAGGUACACACAGGUGUCAGAUCAUCUCCUGUCACGUGAUCACCUGAAUAACAGGUAGACUGAUGAUGUCACGGGGGAUCAUCCGUUCACUUACAGGUAAACAAGUUUAAUAUCAGGUAAUAUUAAUAUUAGGUAAGUGAGAGCUGAACUGACCACACACAGGGGUUAGACUGACCUUAUCUGUGUGUGUGUGUGUGUGUGUGUGUGUCUCCUGUCAGGCAGAGCUGAGGGCAGACUGAGCUCAGGCUCUCAGCAGCAUGAACACAGAUGAGCUCCAAACAUGAGAGAGCAGAGAGGAGGAGAAACAAUGACCGCAUCCUACCUCCACACACACACACAC